rnacentral:rRNA from 1 species
GACGAACGCUGGCGGCGUGCUUAACACAUGCAAGUCGAACGGAAAGGCCCUGCUUUUGUGGGGUGCUCGAGUGGCGAACGGGUGAGUAACACGUGAGUAACCUGCCCUUGACUUUGGGAUAACUUCAGGAAACUGGGGCUAAUACCGGAUAGGAGCUCCUGCUGCAUGGUGGGGGUUGGAAAGUUUCGGCGGUUGGGGAUGGACUCGCGGCUUAUCAGCUUGUUGGUGGGGUAGUGGCUUACCAAGGCUUUGACGGGUAGCCGGCCUGAGAGGGUGACCGGCCACAUUGGGACUGAGAUACGGCCCAGACGCCUACGGGAGGCAGCAGUGGGGAAUAUUGCACAAUGGGCGGAAGCCGGAUGCAGCAACGCCGCGUGCUGGAUGACGGCCUUCGGGUUGUAAACCGCUUUCGCCUGUGACGAAGCGUGAGUGACGGUAAUGGGUAAAGAAGCACCGGCUAACUACGUG